rnacentral:rRNA from 1 species
CCUACGGGUGGCAGCAGUAGGGAAUAUUGCUCAAUGGGGGAAACUCUGAAGCAGCAACGCCGCGUGGAGGAUGAAGGUCUUAGGAUUGUAAACCCCUUUUGUGAGAGAAGAUAAUGACGGUAUCUCACGAAUAAGCACCGGCUAACUCCGUCCCAGCAGCCGCGGUAAUACGGAGGGUGCAAGCGUUACUCGGAAUCACUGGGCGUUAAGAGUGCGCAGGCGGGCUGGUAAGUCAGAUGUGAAAUCCUGUAGCUUAACUACAGAACUGCAAUUGAAACUAUGAGUCUAGAGUGUGGGAGAGGUAGGUGGAAUUCUUGGUGUAGGGGUAAAAUGCGUAGAUAUCAAGAGGAAUACUCAUUGCGAAGGCGACCUACUGGAACAUUACUGACGCUCAUGCACGAAAGCGUGGGGAGCAAACAGGAGUAGAUACCCGAGUAGUC